rnacentral:rRNA from 1 species
UACGUAGGGGGCAAGCGUUGUCCGGAUUUACUGGGCGUAAAGCGCGCGUAGGCGGAACGUUAAGUCCGGUCUGAAAGCCCCCGGCUCAACCGGGGAGGGUGGCUGGAAACUGGCGUUCUUGAGGGCGAGAGAGGAGGGUGGAAUUCCUGGUGUAGCGGUGAAAUGCGCAGAUAUCAGGAAGAACACCCGUGGCGAAGGCGGCUCUCUGGGACGGUACUGACGCUGAGGCGCGAAAGCGUGGGGAGCGAACAGG